rnacentral:piRNA from 1 species
UGCCUGGUACAUCUGGUGGGUAUACCCUGU